rnacentral:rRNA from 1 species
UACAGAGGUCUCAAGCGUUGUUCGGAUUCAUUGGGCGUAAAGGGCGCGUAGGCGGCGGGGUAAGUCUGGUGUGAAAUCUCGGAGCCUCAACUCCGAAAUUGCACUGGAUACUGCUCUGCUUGAGGGUUGGAGAGGAGAUCGGAAUUCACGGUGUAGCAAGUGAAAUGCGUAGAUAUCGUGAGGAAGACCGAGUGGCGAAGG